ACAUGAUAUGUUUGUUUGAUGUUUUAUGUGAAAUUAGAAAAGGUUGAUGGCUUUGUGAACUAGAGUUAGUUGUAUCCAAGUCUUUUACUUACGAAGUACACACAUUUAUAUUGUAGAUUCCGGUUUCAUUGAGGAGCCGUAUUGACUGAGCUAGUUGGUUUGAUAUAGUUUAAAAGGUACAUGAAGGCUUAGAGUCGGGGUAUGGGCGGAGAGCAACGUCCACUAGUUUUGCGUAAAUAUAAUUAUAAUAGUUCUGUUCUGGUGCAUUUCUUAUAUAUAAUCAAUAUUUUGAGACUUAGGGUUGUAAAUAUUAAUCCACCUAAAUCUUUAUUCGGUUGGGUUGUAAUAGUUUAAAAUAAACUUUAAUUUAGUUUUGGUGCAGGUAGUUCUUCCUUAGCGAUUAUUCUCGUAAUAAUCGUGGAAUAACACGUUUGGAUUUCGAGUAGUUAUACAGGAAUUUCGUUGGUAUUUGAAAUGGGUGGAGUUGUUGGGAAUUUGGAUUUUGGAUUGCUGAUUUGUUGAAACAGGUUUAAAAUUCGGACGCCAGUCCUAAAUUAAAUUUUAGGCAGUCCAUUUUUCAAACGGAACUCUGCCGAAUUUUCUAUAGAAUUUUAAUAUUAUUUAAUUUAAUGAAUCACUCGAAAUUCAGGGGUGUUAUAACAGCCCUACUAAGUGAAGGGUUGCGCUUGUAAAAAAAAGCGCAGCCCUUCUGACUUAGUAGGGCUGCGCUUGUAAAAAACGCGCAGCCCUUUAUGGGCUUUUGUAUAUUAAAAAGAAACAAACUCGUGCUGCGUUUUUUAAACUCGCGCUUAAUACACCAAACCCAUUCUCUCUCCUCUCUCUUCCUUCUCCAAUUAUUCAAAACCCUAAGUCCUCUCUCCUCCCUCAACCGUUUUCGUUCUCCCUCUCCCUCUCCCUCAGCCGUCCUCACUCUCCCUCUCUCUCAUUCUCUUCUUUCUCUCCUCUCUUUCGCCGCCCCUUUCGAGUUGUGUGUGUGUGGAGUGUGUGCUGCUGUGCAAGGCUCGCGAGUUCCUCUCUUUUCUUUGAAUAAAUCAGAAGCAGGCACCACCGUCGCGCGCAAAAACCACCAACGUCGUUCGUUCCUUCUCCGUUCGUCGUUCGUCGUUUCACCCUCCGUUCGUCGUUCGUCGUUGCCGCCCCGCCUUGCCGCGUCGUUUCCUCCUCUGUUGGUCGAACUCCGCCUUGCCGCGCCUUGUCUUUAUCUCGUUGGUCAUUCGUUCGUUGAUAGCAACUUCAGAUUUUAGGGUUUUUUUUUUCAUUUUUCUCAUUUUUUGUUCAUUUUCGUUCAUUUUUUUUCAUUUUUGUUCUAUUUUGAUCCUUUUUUUUUCUAUUUUAUUCGUUCGUUUUUAUGAUUUGUGUUUUUAUGAUGGGCUAAUUAUAGAUCUAUGUUUUUUUUUUCUUUAAUAUGUAUAUGAUAUAUUGUGAAAUUAAUUAAGCAAUACAUGUAUGAAAUUUGGUUGUGAAA